UAUACAGUACCAGAAGCUGAAUCCCAGUAAUUAUGAGUUAAAUUGUGUUGGGAUCCUUGUGGCUUAGAUGAGCUAUAUAAUUUAUACUAUACUAAUUCUUAAAUAUGGUUGAAAACAACACAUUUCCUACUGUUUUGUAACAGAUUAGUUUUUUUUUUUUAUAUUUCUAAAUGAUCAUAGUUGAAAUAUGUGGGGAAAAGUAGGUAAAAUAUCAUGUUCACAAAAAAUAAAUUCACCAUGGUUUUUCAAGCUUGCAGGAGUGUCCCACUGUUUUUAUGUUAUUUCCUGUGUAUCAGAACUCGACACGGCCUUGCAAAUACUACUUUACGUUCUGCAUGGAAUGAUUGAAUCAGGGCAGUAACAUUGUACAAUCUGCAGGUCAGUGUGGUUCUAGUGUGACUAAACAGUGAAUUAAAAAUUGCAAAGUAUAACGCCAAAAUUGCUGAUAUGUAAAAUUUCUCUAACUCAACUGUAGUCACAUCUUUUAACAUGACUUUUGCAAUUCAGUUUUCCCGACUGCUUCUCAUCUCGC